GAGUUUGAUCAUGGCUCAGGAUGAACGCUAGCUACAGGCCUAACACAUGCAAGUCGAGGGGCAGCAUGAACUUAGCUUGCUAAGUUUGAUGGCGACCGGCGCACGGGUGAGUAACACGUAUCCAACCUGCCGAUGACUCGGGGAUAGCCUUUCGAAAGAAAGAUUAAUACCCGAUGGCAUAGUUCUUCCGCAUGGUAGGACUAUUAAAGAAUUUCGGUCAUCGAUGGGGAUGCGUUCCAUUAGCUUGUUGGCGGGGUAACGGCCCACCAAGGCAUCGAUGGAUAGGGGUUCUGAGAGGAAGGUCCCCCACAUUGGAACUGAGACACGGUCCAAACUCCUACGGGAGGCAGCAGUGAGGAAUAUUGGUCAAUGGGCGCUAGCCUGAACCAGCCAAGUAGCGUGAAGGAUGACUGCCCUAUGGGUUGUAAACUUCUUUUAUAUGGGAAUAAAGUGCAGUAUGUAUACUGCUUUGCAUGUACCUUAUGAAUAAGGAUCGGCUAACUCCGUGCC
rnacentral:rRNA from 1 species